GUGCUCACUUCGGCAGUACAUAUACUAAAAUUGGAGCAAUACAGAGAAGAUUAGCAUAGCCCCUGCACAAGGAUGACACACAAAUUUGUAAAGUGUUCCAUAUUUAA
rnacentral:snRNA from 1 species